CGCUCAACGGAUAAAAGCUACCCUGGGGAUAACAGGCUUAUCACUCCCAAGAGUUCACAUCGACGGAGUGGUUUGGCACCUCGAUGUCGGCUCAUCGCAUCCUGGGGCUGAAGUAGGUCCCAAGGGUUGGGCUGUUCGCCCAUUAAAGCGGUACGCGAGCUGGGUUCAGAACGUCGUGAGACAGUUCGGUCCCUAUCCGGCGUGGGCGUAGGAUAUUUGAGAGGAGCUGUCCUUAGUACGAGAGGACCGGGAUGGACUGACCUCUGGUGUAUCUGUUAGACUAUCAAGUCUAUGGCAGAGUAGCCAAGUCGGGAAGGGAUAAACGCUGAAGGCAUCUAAGCGUGAAGCCCCCCUCAAGAUGAGAUAUCCCAUACGCAAGUAGUAAGACCCCUUGAAGACGACGAGGUAGAUAGGGCAGAGGUGGAAGCAUGGCAACAUGUGUAGCUGACUGUUACUAAUAGGUCGAGGGCUUAACCAA
rnacentral:ncRNA from 1 species